rnacentral:rRNA from 1 species
CUACGGGUGGCAGCAGUGAGGAAUAUUGCACAAUGGGGGAAACCCUGAUGCAGCAACGCCGCGUGGAGGAUGACGCAUUUCGGUGUGUAAACUCCUUUUAUAUGUCAAGAAAAUGACGGUAGCAUAUGAAUAAGCACCGGCUAACUCCGUGCCAGCAGCCGCGGUAAUACGGAGGGUGCAAGCGUUACUCGGAAUCACUGGGCGUAAAGGACGCGUAGGCGGGUUGUCAAGUCAGGUGUGAAAUCCUACAGCUUAACUGUAGAACUGCACUUGAAACUGGCAGCCUAGAGUAUGGGAGGGGGAGAUGGAAUUAGUAGUGUAGGGGUAAAAUCCGUAGAUAUUACUAGGAAUAUCAAAAGCGAAGGCGAUCUCCUGGAACAUUACUGACGCUAGGGCGUGAAAGCGUGGGGAGCAAACAGGAUUAGCUACCCCCGUAGUC